AGUGCGUGUGCGGGGCGGCUUUUCCCGGGGAUUGGGAAGAGCCCGGCAACGUGCUCGCUCUUGUCCGGGAGGCGCGCUCUUGUCCGAGAGAUGCACUCUCGUCGCCGAGGGGUGGCGGGUCCCCGGCCCGCAGGGUGACGCUGGGCCGCAGCUGGGCCGUCAUGAAGCUCCGCGGGCCCGAACUUCAAGGACCGCUCCUCGCACUGCAGCUGGGGCUUGGACGGAGGAGACCGAACGCAGGCACCACAGUCGGGGGUUUCCACCGAGCCGGAGAGCUCUCCAGACCCCGGCGAUUGGAUGAAGACUUGCAGCCUUGGUUUUCGCCUCCUCGUCGGUGACAGUAUUCGGAGUGACAUCAGUUUGGGGGAUCCAGGGAGCUACAGCCCAGUUGGGGUGAUGUCAGUAAGUGCCUGGACAACAGAAGGGAGCCAUCCUAGCUGAGAAGACAUGUGACAAAAGGCCAGACGCAUGAGAGGAGGCUUCAGAGGAGGUGGGGACCUCAAGGCUUGGGACCAAACUGGAGACCACCACGGCAACAGGUGAGUUUCCUGGAAGAUUGGUGUAUGCUGCACGACGACGGUGACUCCUGCCGGGUGGCACUUGUGAGGGUUCGGUAAAGUUCGUAGGAGCACAGUGGACCAGUUAGCUGUCCCUUUGUGAGUGUUAGUUACCCUUUUCCCUCGGAUUUUCAGUGCAUUUUCACAGCGUAUCCAGCUGGAAACCUCUAGGGGUCUGCGGCGUCUGAAAGUUCUGGGGUCUUUACAGAUGCUGCUUCCAACAAGAAGAGGCCUGCCUGCCUCAGGGUGAGCGAAACAGCCCCAGCGCCGAGGCAGGGGUCUGCUCCAGGCUCUUGACUUUUUACCGUUUUAGUUUUCCUGUUGGGGCCACUCACAAGGGCAUACAGUUCACAGGACGGUGACCUGCACUCCCCCGUGUGUGCUUGUCUUUAGAGGGAGAGGCUGCAGUAAUUGCCUAAAUGAACCCGUUGUAUUGAGAUGGGGUGUGUACUGGGGAAAGCGUACAUGUGGGUAUCUCUGGAAUAAAGAGCUUUCGUGCCCGGGC